AUCUAUAUAUAUAAAAGAAAGUCGUGUUAGUUACUCCACUUAUAACUCAAGAACGGCUGAACCGAUUUAGCUGAAAAUUGUCAGAGAGGUAGUUUAGAGCCAGGAGAAGGACAUAGGAUACUUUUUAUCCCGUUCGAAAUAAAUAAAAAAGUCUGCUUAUUUAUUGCCAUUAAGGCGGAACAAAGUUCGCCGGACCAAUUUUUAUGGUUAUAAAACCAAAUAAAGAUCUCACGUGUCCUCUUUAACAGAUGGAUAGCGAUUAAUCCCAACUUAACAGUUUUAUAGUCAUAAAAAAUGGCUAUAGCGUAACUACCUAUUUUUUGAAGAAGUGACUCUGGAUCCUUCUAAAGACACGUUUUUGGGGUAAAAACCUUUCCUUUAAUGAAAUGAAGGUAAGAACUAGGCUUUUAAAUGGUGCCAAUAUCGGUGGGAAGUGGGGAAGCAUACGUUUGAAAAUGCUUGUCGCGGGAGGUGCGAUUUAUUUGAUGCCGAGUGUAGUUUUAAGUAAAUUAAAAUUUUAUUUCUAACAUUUGCUUCUUUUUUAUCAUUUAUUAGUACAAUAAUAAAAACAUCUUUGUAUGUCUGCUUU